UACGUAGGUGGCGAGCGUUGUCCGGAUUUACUGGGCGUAAAGAGCGCGCAGGCGGCUGGGCAAGUCCGAUGUGAAAGCUUCCGGCUUAACUGGAAAAUUGCAUCGGAAACUGCUCGGCUUGAAGGUGGGAGAGGGUAGCGGAAUUCCCGGUGUAGUGGUGAAAUGCGUAGAGAUCGGCAGGAACACCCAGGGGGAAACCAGUCGACUGGGCAUCUACUGACGCUGAGGUGCGAGAGCGUGGGGAGCGAACCGG
rnacentral:rRNA from 1 species